CAUCGGAGUUUUAACAAGGCCUCCAGAAGAUUCUGACACUCACCAGAGUCUGAGAGACUCUGGAAUCUGGGCUCCAGUUUUCACCCAGGAGACAGGAGGAGUCUAGGUGGAAGGGCAGGAGGAACUGGGGUCCCCCCCGGAAGGAGCACCCCAGGAUGAUGCCCCAUAAGAGAGUCUUCAGAGACUGGAAAUGCUUGCCAGGAAGGAAGAACCACUUUCUGUCCUCCAUCAUCAGGAGCACAGAAGAGUGAAGCUGGGCCCACAUAGAGAAGCAUCUCAUGCUGUCUGCAGUGGCUGCAGUGCUCUCCUGGGGCAGGAGAUGAUCAAAGGGGAAGAAACUGGUUUUCAGAGAGGCCAAAUCAUUCACCCAAGGACACAGAGCAUGCAAGUGGCAGAGCCAUUUCCAAUAUUCCCGCUGCCUCUUGACCUCCCUAGAAGACCCGCUUGAAGCUCUCAA